CACGCAGGCGGUCUGCUAAGUUCGGAGUGACAGUCACCAGCUUAACUGGUGAAGGACUUUGAAAACUGGCGGACUUGAGAGCGAGAGAGGGACAUGGAAUUUCGGGUGGAGCAGUGAAAUGCGUAGAUAUCCGGAGGAAUACCAAAGGCGAAGGCAGUGUCCUGGCUCGUAUCUGACGCUGAGGUGCGAAAGCUAGGGGAGCGAACAGGAUUAGAUACCCCGGUAGUCCUAGCCGUAAACGAUGACCACUAGGCGUGGGAGGUAUCGACCCCUUCCGUGCCGCAGUUAACACAAUAAGUGGUCCGCCUGGGGAGUACGGUCGCAAGACUAAA
rnacentral:rRNA from 1 species